rnacentral:rRNA from 1 species
AUUCCAGCUCCAAUAACAUAUAUUUAAGUUGUUGCAGUUAAAAAUCUCGUAGUUGGAUCUUGGAUCAUAAAAGUCGGUCCGCCUACUCGGUGUGCACCUACACUUCCGUCCCUUUUGUCGGCAGCGUGCUCCUAGCCUUAAUUGGCUGGGUCGCGGCUCUGGCAUUGUUACUUUGAAAAAACUACAGUGCUCAAAGCAAGCUUAUGCUUUGAAUACAUUAGCAUGGAAUAACGUGAUAGGAGUCUGGUCCUAUUGUGUUGGCCUUCAAGACCGGAGCAAUGAUUAAUAGGGACUGUCGGGGGCAUUCAUAUUUCAUUGUCAGAGGUGAAAUUCUUGGAUUUAUGAAAGAAGGACGACUGUGAAAGCAUUUCCCAAUGAUGUUUUCAUUA